UGCAGCUGCAGUGUUUGAGCUAUGUUGACGGUGCUGCUAGCCUGCUAGCCAGCUAGCCAGCAGUGAGAAUGCAAACAUUGUGAGGAACAGACUUCUAACUCACUUCUUGGAACAUGUUCUCAGCACAGUACAGGACGGGAAGAGGAAGGAUGUGAGGUCCACCCGGUGAAGGAUGUGAGGUCCACCUGGUGAAGGACAGGAUGCCAGAGAUGACUGACAGCGACUCAAGUGGACGCAGACCAAAGAAGAAGAAGAACAAAGAGUCCACAAUGCAGG